rnacentral:rRNA from 1 species
UACGAAGGGGGCUAGCGUUGUUCGGAUUUACUGGGCGUAAGGCGCGCGUAGGCGGAUCGUUAAGUCGGGGGUGAAAUCCUGGAGCUCAACUCCAGAACUGCCUUCGAUACUGGCGAUCUCGAGUCCGGAAGAGGUGAGUGGAACUCCUAGUGUAGAGGUGGAAUUCGUAGAUAUUAGGAAGAACACCAGUGGCGAAGGCGGCUCACUGGUCCGGUACUGACGCUGAUGUGCGAAAGCGUGGGGAGCAAACAGG